CCUACGGGUGGCUGCAGUGAGGAAUAUUGGUCAAUGGCCGAGAGGCUGAACCAGCCAAGUCGCGUGAGGGAAGACGGCCCUACGGGUUGUAAACCUCUUUUGUCGGGGAGCAAAGCGAACCACGUGUGGCUCAUUGAGAGUACCCGAAGAAAAAGCAUCGGCGAACUCCGUGCCAGCAGCCGCGGUAAUACGGAGGAUGCGAGCGUUAUCCGGAUUUCUUGGGGUUAAAGGGUGCGCAGGCGGAGGUGCAAGUCAGCGGUAAAAUUGCGGGGCUCAACCCCGUACUGCCGUUGAAACGGCAUCCCUUGAGUGCGCGAGAGGUAUGCGGAAUGCGUGGUGUAGCGGUGAAAUGCAUAGAUAUCACGCAGAACUCCGAUGGCGAAGGCAGCAUACCGGCGCGCAACUGACGCUCAGGCACGAAAGCGUGGGUAUCGAACAGGAUUAGAUACCCGGGUAGUC
rnacentral:rRNA from 1 species